rnacentral:ncRNA from 1 species
AAAAACGUGAUGAUAGGAACUAGUAGCAAAACUCCCUUCUUAAGAGAGCUGGUGGUCGCUGUGAACCAGUGAAGGAUUUUGUGAAUCCAUCCUUGAGCUGAUAUGCCGAAAGAUUAGUAAGCAUAUCCGGUGUAACGCACCGUUACCAUUGAAGUGAGCCGGAAGGUACAAUGUUUGUACUUUCAAUCAGGGUGGCAUCGCGGGAAUAUACAACUCUCGUCCCUUUC